rnacentral:rRNA from 1 species
GACGAACGCUGGCGGCGUGCUUAACACAUGCAAGUCGAACGGAAAGGCCCCUUUUUUGGUACUCGAUUGGCUAGCGAGUGAGUAACACGUGAGUAACCUGCCCUUGCCUUCGGUAUAACUUCAGUAAACUAGGUCUAAUACCUGAUAGGAAUCCUUGCUGCAUGGUUGGGGGUGGUAAGCUUCGUCGGUUUGGUAUGGACUCGCGGCUGAUCGGCUUGUUGGUGGGUUAGGGGCUUACCAAGGCUUGGACGGGUGGCCGGCCUGGGAGGGGGACCGCCCACUUGGGGACGGGAUAAGGCCCAGAAUUCCUAGGGAGGCAGGAGUGGGGAAUAUUGGAACAUGGGCGGAAGGCUGAUGGAGGAAAGCCGGGGGGCGGAUUAACGCCUUCGGGUUGGAAAACGGUUUCCGCCGGGGAGAAGCCUGUGGUGACGGUAACUGCAGAAGAAGCACCGGCUAACUACGUG